rnacentral:rRNA from 1 species
GACGAACGCUGGCGGCGUGCUUAACACAUGCGAGUCGAACGGAAAGGCCCUGCUUUUGUGGGGUGCUCGAGUGGCGAACGGGUGAGUAACACGUGAGUAACCUGCCCUUGACUUUGGGAUAACUUCAGGAAACUGGGGCUAAUACCGGAUAGGAGCUCCUGCUGCAUGGUGGGGGUUGGAAAGUUUCGGCGGUUGGGGAUGGACUCGCGGCUUUCAGCUUGUUGGUGGGGUAGUGGCUUACCAAGGCUUUGACGGGUAGCCGGCCUGAGAGGGUGACCGGCCACAUUGGGACUGAGAUACGGCCCAGACUCCUACGGGAGGCAGCAGUGGGGAAUAUUGCACAAUGGGCGGAAGCCUGAUGCAGCAACGCCGCGUGCGGGAUGACGGCCUUCGGGUUGUAAACCGCUUUCGCCUGUGACGAAGCGUGAGUGACGGUAAUGGGUAAAGAAGCACCGGCUAACUACGUG